GGUACGAAGGCUGCUUCUGUCAGAUUCACAGAUGUCAAAAUGUGAAUUGAAGUAUAUUUUCUGCAAUUGUGACCUUGAGCAACAGCAAAUGAAAACAGAAGUGUGCUCUCGAGAAUACCAAAACUGAGAUAGCUGAAAGGUGGAUUUUAUUCCAAGUCAUGGUAGCUAAGGACUGACAAGAGCUCUCUGUUUACAUACAGAGCAGACCAUGUCAUUGAAAGGCAGGAGGAGAGCUUCAAGAGGAUCCUGAGUGAAUUAUGGCUUCCCCAGGGCUGAAAGUUCAAUAGACAGUUCCUGAAUGGUGCAUUUUCUUUAUACCAGUUUACCUUUUAAGAUGAUUUCCUACUCUCCUAGUUUCAGGUGGUUUUCUUCCCCUCCCCCCCAGUUAAUAGUUCUUCCAUCAACUCUACUUAUGCACUCAUGAGUAGCACCCAUUUUGAGAGAAGUGCCUUACACCAAGUGAACAGCCUGUGAGCAGAAGUACAAAAAUUGAAGCUUGGAGCUGGAACAAAUCAUGCAAUAGCAACUGCACACUGAUGAGUGGGCACAGCCUUUGAAAACAUGAGGGACAACACUCAACAUUCAUCUUGUUAGAAAGAGCCAAUUGUGGGAUAGCACUGAUCAUUCCCAGAACAGCCGAUGACAUGAGAAACAGCUCUAGAGCAGCUGACUGCUGGUUUGUCUGCGGAUGCUUGGACCUUUAUUUGCUCUGAACGGUGCACUUAGGGAUGGUGGAGCUUUGUAGUUCUUUUCCAGAUGAAUGUGAUUCAGUAUUUUCUCCAGUUUAUGGAAGCAGAGGGUCAGGACCAGUGACAUGGAGUCAUCUGAACUACGUGCCUCAAAUGCAACCACUUGGAAAAUGGAAAAAGUAGAAUCAUCUCAGUGAUUCCAGAAUGGCGGGAUCAGAAUGUCUCUGUGUCCAUCUGGCUCAACCCCAGCUACAGGAGGGCCACCCAGAGCAGUCUGCCCAGCCCACGCUCACGUCCCGUGUUUGGGAAAUCUCCAAGAGAGACUCUCAACUCUUCUGGGCAGCGUGUACCAGUGCUUUGUCACUUGCACAGCACCCAUACCAUAGAAGUAAUCAAGUGCAAGAACAACCGAAGAAAUCAAGAUGAAAUUACAGCCACCUACUGGGAAUUUAUUCCAUAAAAUCCAUGCAACAAUACUUGAAGACAAUUACAGUCUGCAUUUGAAAUGCAGAUCAGAUUUCUACAUGAUCUGGAUUCACAAGGUGUUGAUGUCUGAAACCAUAUAACUCUUCACAUGGGAACUGCUGAAUCAAGGCCUGAACAUCUGAUUGAUCACCGAGCGCUGAGUCAGCCCUGCGAGCACAGGUGAAGGCAGUUCACCUGUGCUGCUGGACCUAUUUAAGAGCUGACUACCAGUGGGGAAGGAUCUCUACUGGAAAUCCCUGCUUUGGAGUUUUACAGCGAGCUUGGCACAUGGUAGUUGUGUUGCUGUUGUUUUAAACAGCAGCAGGACAAACGUGGCCAUUGGGUGCAGAUUGUGAUAAAGUCCAAACUCUGCGGAGCUCCAUACGUGUGGGUCUGGAUUCUGCAAAACUCCUUUGGGAAGCUUUGAAGGCAAGUGCAAAAAGAACACUACUGCUGCUCCCCGAUGCUAUG